GACGAACGCUGGCGGCGUGCUUAACACAUGCAAGUCGAACGGAAAGUCCCUGCUUGCAGGGUGCUCGAGUGGCGAACGGGUGAGUAACACGUUGGUGAUCUGCCCCUUACUUUGUGUUAAGCCUGUUAAACUGUGUCUAAUACUUGUUAGGACCAUGCUUUAGUUGGUGUGUUGUUAAGAUUAGUUUCGGUUAGGUAUGAGCUCGCGGACUAUCAGCUUGUUUGUGGGGUAAUGGCCUACCAAGCCGUCUACGGGUAGCCGGCCUGAGAGGGUGGACGGCAACAUUGGGACGGAGAUACGGACCAGAAUCAUACGGGAGGCAGCAGUGGGGAAUAUUGCACAAUGGGAGAAAGCCUGAUGCAGAGACGCAGCGUGGGGGAUGACGGCCUUCGGGUUGUAAACUCCUUACAGACAUGACGAAGCACUUGUGGUGACGGUAGUGGUAGAAGAAGCACCGGCUAACUACGUG
rnacentral:rRNA from 1 species